CCCAGAACUUUUUUCUGCACUGACUUGUGACGCUGCCAGAGAUGCAGUUACAUUUCCAGAAGCUAAGAGGUUAACCUCUGUAUGUGCAACGUUUUAAAGCAAAACACGGUACGAACAGACUGCAGGCACAAUGACCACUUCAAAUCACUAAAAUGCUUGUUGUAACCCGUUAAGACCCAAGCUUCAUUUGUUUGUCUUUCACUUAACCCCUUAAGGACCAAAC